GGCUAUGUCAGGGGUGGGCAAACCAAGUCCCACAAGGUAGGAAAUAAAAUAGUUUGGAGGCGAGCUAAAACAAAAUGUUUGCCCUCCCCUGGGCAAUGGCAAUUUUCCUUUUUUGCUUUUGCAGCCGACUUCGGUUCAGGUGGCGCUGUUGGGUGGGAGAAAAUAGCCUACUCGUUUUGGGGCGGGAACGGAAGGCAGAAACAUCCACUUAUUGGACCGGUGAUCGUAUGUGUGUGUGUGUUCUCGAGCGUUUCAGUUUGGUCCUAACAAUCACAGAUAAACCUGUUGAUCCGUGGUAUCUUCUUAGCUGAAAUAUUUCUCAUGACGAAAAGGCACGCUGAUCAGGGUGUGUUCCACGACGCGCCAUUUAAAAGAUCAUGCUGUCGUCCACUUUACAAAAUAGAUACGCAGUUACAAAGCAUGGAUUCAGCCGGACACGUGAAUCCGCCAUCUCUGCUAGCUUUGUUGGGGAGACGCUGCAAAAAGAGACCGUACUACUUUGAAGAUCAAGAGGAACAGCAAGAAAUACUAAAACCGCGUAAGCUUUCUGCUUGUGAUCAUCGGGCCAGUGCAACAGAGAAUGUUCUAGUAAAGAAUUCUGGAAGUUUCCGUGAGAUUAAUCCACCUGCGAACUCUUUUAGCUUAACCUCCAAGAAACGUGCUCGAGAGGACACUGCCACAAAAUUUGAUGCUCCAAAAAAGGAAACACACAAAGAUGAUGAUGAUGAUGCUGAUGAUGACAAUGACCUUUGCACUUUCAACUCAUUUCAGUACUGGAGGGUCCCUCUGCCGAAGCUCGACCUUUCACUUGUGCAGAUUGAUAACAUAUCUGGACCAAUUGGAGAACCCACAGUAAAAUACUUAUCCUCUGAUGCCAUGGAGUCAUGAAGUAUUUCCUGCCAUAGAACUCUUGUGAGAGGUGUCCAUAGCCUCACUCCCCACCAGAGCCAUACAGAUAAUCUAUACUAUAUGUAUUCUUCUGCUCUGGGGCUGUAGUGCUAUUUCAUUAUUGUUUUGGGUGCAGGAACAUACUGUCAGUAAUUAUUCAUGCUUUCCUGGUGAAAUAUCCAAAUAUUCUUGCUGUUAUUUGUUUUUGUAAGGUGAAAUACUUAUAGCCUUAUCGGUAGGCCUACUUUAGGCUUCUAAACCAGCCCCUUUGUGAAAGGUGUUUUUUCUAUUCAUAAGUGAUGAGUGACUGUUAGGGGUAAACAGCAGGUCUUGAUGAGUGGUAUUUCAAGUUAUCUGUAGUGUGUUAUAUCAAAGGCCGACAGUGGUUUUUGAUUCCUGCUCUUGUAGGUGUGAUGCUGUUCAUGGGGCUGAACUACUUGUGCUGUCUGCCAAGCAACAGCUACAGUGAUUUGUAGUUGAGCAGUGGUCUCAGCACUGGUUCUCCCAAACUGUCAACAAAGUUCCUGAAGCUGUUGAUGGUGGAGGUUUAUUGGAGGCAACAACAUUGUCCCUUUAUUAGAAAUAUUGUGUAGAAAUUGUUGACCAAACAAUCACAUCAGUUUCUAUCACACUUUGUAACACAAUAAAUAUAGAGCAAGUCCUAUGUUGUGGAAUACUUCCACUGUACCAUCAAGAUUAUAAUAUCUAUGGACUAUACAGCAUGAAAACAUUGGAAAAAGACUUUCCACCUGUAGCUUUUAUAAAGUUGUAGUACUUUUGGUGGCCAUUUAGUGGUGUAGUGUCAUUAAUGUUAACAGGUCUUUUUCUAUGGAGCCUAUUUUCUAUUGGAAUUAUGGGAUGGGAUGUGUUGCUUAUUCAGCAAAUUUUUACUUGUUGGUACAUUUGCUCUGGAAGUCACAAGCUGCAUGUAGUGCUCAUAGCUGGGAUCUUGUGACCUAGACACUGAUGUUCUUUAAUGUUUAGGAAUGUCAUGAAUCAUUGCUUAUUAAAUGGCUUUGAAACCAUGGAAAUUCUUUAUUGAGAAAUAAUAUUGAUAAAGAUACUGUAAUGAUUUCAAUUUGGUUUCUCACUCUGACAGCAAACAGUAUUAUUUAAAUGUCCAUCUUUUUGUCGCAAUGGAGGAGUGAAGUUGAUCGGUAAUUAGCAUAGGUGGUUGUCUCUGUCUUCUAGAACAUGGAAAGACUUAAUGGGGAUUUAGAAUGUUGGAACACAGGCCAUAUAACACUAUUUACAUUCCAAGUGUAAGAAAAAAAUAUUGUAUGUGUAAAUAAAUCGUUGACGCAAGGGA